rnacentral:miRNA from 1 species
AGACACCCAGUUAAAUCUGAAUUUCAGGUAAACAACGUAUUUCAAACAGUUAAGGUAUGUGUCAUUACUUAUUUGGGAUAUACUUAUACUAAAAUAUUCAUUUUUUCAUGAAUCAUUAAGUAGAAAUUUAACU